GGGGGAAGCGGUACUAGAAAGCUGCAGAUAGUCAUUUUAGAAGCGGAUGGUCACAAGGGCUGGGAGAGGGCAAGAGAUCCCCUCUCUGCCUCCAUGCCCCCUCCAUGCCAAAAGAAUGGCGUGAAUGAUGCUCUCACGUGACUGGAGGACGUCAACCUUUUUUUUUUGUGCCCAUUUUAUCCAGAAUUGUUAAAUGAACUUCUCCCCCCACACCAUGCCCUCCCCUCCUCCCCAGCACUGAAUGCCCUCAACUUUGCGAGUGACCAAGAGUCUGUCGCUUUCCCCCAUCUCCUGAGCUAUUUCCCUCGAGCUUUUCUUGCUCUUUUUGGUCUUGUGCGCGUGUGCGCGCGCGUGCAUGUAUGUGCGUGUGCAUGUGUGUGUUGUGCGUGUGCAUGCAUGUGUGUAUAUGUGCGUGUUGUGUGUGUGUCUGAAAUCCUCAGAGCAGAAGAGGUAAAGAAACUGGACACGCGAUCGCCACUGCCCUAGCCUCGCAGAGACCCAGCUCCGAGCCCAGACGGUGGAAGAGGAGGAGAAAAGAGCUGGUGAGGAUGGGAAGACUUCUCUGCUGGCUCCCUGCUCGGAGCCGCCGCAGCCUCUGGGAGCCGCUCCUCUGAACCAGCCCCUGAUAACCUGCUGCCCAGCUCCAGCCGGCCGAGGGGGCGGAGGGCCGUUCACACCCACGCGCCGGCCUGUAACCGAGUGGAUUUACAAGCUGAGCCCUAUGGCAGCCGCCUGGGCCCCUGCAAGGAGGGCGCGUGUUGCUUUGGACGGGGCUCUGCCUUCUGCUCUUGCUCAUGGGCUAACCAGUUCCCAAGGACUUCAGGAAGAAAGAAGCGGAGGCGGAUCGGACGCUGCAAGAGCUGAACCGAAGCGAGGAAAUUAAGGAGAAGAAAAGAAACUACUUUAUUGUACCUCGGUGGAUCUUGAUGACAGCUUUGUCGGACGGACUUUUUCCCCCCCCAAAGAUGCUUUGAUUUUUGGACUCACUGGAUUCCAACGGAACUGUCUUGACGUGAAGAAAAAUAGAGACCCUUCUUCCUAAACAGCUUUAAGUGUUGCAAGAAUACAGCCCCCUUUCCAGAAAGCGCAGAGAUACUGGGAAACGGGGUGGGGGGGGGGAAAGAAUACGUACUUGAUUUCCCCUUUGAAAAAAAAAUACACCCCCCACCCCGGUCCCACAUCCCUGGUAUCUAUAUGGAAAGCUGUUUCUCUUUAUAAAGACUUAAAAUGUUGCAAGACGGGUCUAAUACUGAGUGACAAGCGGUGGUGGAGAGAGAGAGGAACCAAAUGGAUUCUGGUUUUUAAAGGCCACUAGGAACUGGCCAGUCUUCAAUGUCAGGAUUCAAAAUUGAUUCCAUAUGUCUCGUCCAAAAAAAAAUCAAAGUUAAGCAAAACCUAGCGGAUUCCUUUCUUUCUGCCUUUUUUUCUUUUCUUUUCUUUUUUUUUUCUUUUGGGUGCUUAGAUGUGAUCCUAUCAAAUAUAUGUAUAUUGCAAUUAACAUGGCUGACUUUUGUGUCUAAUCACAGAGGUAAGAGGUGGAAAAGUUGCAGCAGCCCCAGACACAAGGCUGCAUUUAGCAUGCAGUGAAUGGAGUUUCCCUGAAGUUGCAAACAGGGCUUAUGUAUGGUGAUGAGGAAAGGGGUGAAGUUUGCCAGAACGUGGGUCGGCAGAAAAAAUAGGGGAAACUCUCCUGAAUGCGGGGUGAAUGGGAGAAUUGUUUUGGGGGAGAUUGCCAUUGACUGCCAUAGGUGGUGCGGCUGCUGUUGGGUAGCACUGAAUGUGGACGUGUUGCGGGGAUGAAGGAGGGCAAAGGAGCCGGGUUGAUUUUCACCAGAGAACAGACCUCCGGCUAUUUCACCUUCCACCACCUCCCUCGGGGCUUAAAGGGGGACGCUGGACACCCCCAAAGAUGCCAUGGUGGAAAUGUGGAGAAACCUGCCCCUAAGCACUUAAUGUUCUCUCUGACCUCGCAGCGCCUUUGCUCAUAGCACUCAGGCAGAUUUUUGUUUGAAUUUAACUUAAAAAAAGAAAGAUUAAAUAUUAUGGAGUGAGAAUCCUCCCCCCACCCCUUCCCCUUUACAGCUAUCUUGGGGGGGUGGGAGAAGAACAACCCAACCUGAACAUCGCUUCUGAUUUAUGGCUUUGCUUUUCUGAAAUAGCUUCUGAUUUGGUCAGUGGCAAUCGAGUGUUGAAAUGUGGUUUUACACCCGUCUCCCCUCCCCCCAGCAAAUAAACUUCAAAGGAGACGUCAUUCUUUCCAACUUUGGCCUAUUUCACAGAAAAGCAACAAGCACUCCUUUCCUUUUGUCCUGGCUGGAAAAAAAAGGUGGGGGGAAGCUCCUUUCUUUCUGCAGCAGUAGUUCUGCCUCAGCUCCCGCUACAGUUCUUUGCAGUCCUGGAGGCCUCUAUAGCAGUGAUUUGUUUGGGGCGUGAAUUUAUUCUGCCUGUGUUUUCGCCUGCUGAGAUUUGUUAAAAUAACGGAAUCAAUGUAAUGCCGUUUUUCUGUGCAAACGUGAAUUCCUUUCCCAAACUACGGCCAUGUAUUUCUAAUGAAGUUAUAAUUUCGGUCCCUUUAAAAUAUAUAUACAUAGGUGUGUGCGUGCGUGUGUGUAUAAAUACAUAUGUAUGCAUACAUGUAUACGCGUGUGUAUUAUUCGUCGGAAUAAAGGCAGUAUCUCUUCCUGGUACCUGUUUUAAUCAGCUAAGGGUCGGCAGGGGUGAGCACUGCCUGGGCAUUUCUCCUAGCUGAGCGGUCACCAGAAUUACUUGCUCUCCUACUGAGCCCGCGUGUUCAGAUCUACAGGUUUGUGCAUUGUCUUCCAGCAUCGCCUGGCGCUGCUGCUGGUCUCCUCGCCUUGCAACUCCAAAGGGUCUCCCCUACUAUAUUUCUUUGAUCUUAAAUAACUCUCUCUCACAGCCUGCAAUAAAUUAUGAACUAAGGUGAUGUUGACUUAUAUUUACUACCUUAAUAGCUUCCUCUUUGGGAAAGAUAUGGCAUAUGCGUUUGCGCGAGAGGGGGAGAGGGAGAAAGGAAGGGGCAUUCUUUGCAAACUGUGUGGGAUAAACACUGAUUCUUAAGGCUGAUAGAUCAAAAACUUCUGGAAAUGUGAGAGACAAGAAGGAAAGGCUUAUUGCAAAGGAAUUAAUAAAACAAUAGUGGCCAGAGCUAGGUUUUCUUAAGCAAAGAGAUCAAUAUCUCAUCAAAUAUUUUGAAUAUUAUUCAGAUCAUUUAUGACCAUAACACAAGGCACAAUCUUCCAGCCCUCUAGUACCUGACUUGUUCCCUUUUGAGCCAAUUGAUAAAGAGAUACAUCCAGGGAAAACCUAAUAAUAAUAAUAACGAUUUGCACAUUAUUUUUAGUUGGUGCGAAAGAACUCAGGCUGCAAAGUUAUUAUAUUACCUGAUCGAUAAAUAACCAGUUCAUGAAGGCAAAUGGGGAAAUACGUGGUCGUUGGUAGGGCUGGAGUGCUGUUGUAGCCAUAAUGGGCCAGGGAGCAGGGAUCUUGGGAAGUUACCACGAGCAAGGCUGGGGAGAUGGGUGCUAUUGUCUGCAGGGGAAAGGAUGUCCCAGCCCCUCGCGGUCUCAACUAAAGGAAACAAUGAGAAAGCCGCGGGCUGCCCAAAUCUGAGCGAAACAACCCCUUUUCCUUGUGUUACGUCAUCCGAGGUUAAAUAUUCGCUAACAUCGCAGAGAACAGGGGGCAACCCCCCCCCACCCCAAAACCCAGACCCUAUUGCCGGAGGUUACAGGUAGGGGAUGUAUCGAAGUGUUUCAAUAGCUGCAACUUCCAGUGGAAGCCGAGAAGCAGGGGCUGGGGAGGGGGGGAUUUCUCAGCAUCAAGCCUUGGACUUGAUGCUGAGAAGUCAUCGAGAUCUAAACCAAUCUCCCACCCUGGCUCCUUCCUCACCAGUUUAGAUCCCGCUGCUGGGCUUGAUCCCCAAGCCAAUCUCUGCAUCCCAUCCGUCACAACCUGGUGUCUCUUUCUCUAGAGGAACCAAGUGGAGAGACAAAACGAAGUGUCACCUGAAAAGGGGGCUCCCAACCAUCCUCGCCCCACAUGAAACCCAAAGGCUUCAGGGAAGGUGUGCAUGUGUGUGUGCCUAUAUACAUAAAGUAUUGGGACGUCUCUAAUGGCUUUGGAGGGGGAAGUGAGGAGAAAAGGCGACUCAUCGUCAGCCAAGAGGCAAAAAAAAAAAAAUGUUUGCCACAUGGAGCUAUUCAGCGGGCUCUCGUUACCGCUGACAUCUGACUUCUUUAAGGCAGGCAUUCACACAAAGGCGUCGGGAACCGCGUCCAAAGACGCUGGCUAUUGAGUUAGACCCACUCGUUCCCCUCCUCCCUGAAAAAAUAAGUGGGCAACAUCACUGUGAAGCCAAGGAUCUGAAGGCAUAAGAGCUUGACAGAGAAGGAUGCUGCAUUUCUGGCUUCUUUGCCGUCCCUGGAUCUCCCUUAAUAUUUAAUGAAAGUCACCGAGCUGAGCACGUUUUGCUACAUAAAGGUUUACACUAGCCGACAGCGUUAAAUAGCUGCGUCCCCGGCUGGGGUGAGCCGGGAGGGCGAGAAGGGAGAGGAAGUGAAGAAGUGCGGAGGAUUCACACGGGAGAAUCCGGCGCGACCAUUUAAUCUCCGCGCCUGUUGUCAGUUUUAUUGACUCCUCGCGUGUUUUGGCUUGUAAAAAUGUUUAAAAGUGACAUCUCCCACUUCCUCCCUUCCUUUCAGCGCCCCACCGACUUGGGCAAGUUUUAUGAAGGAAAUUCAGGAGGAGCUGAGUCCUGCUCUUUCAGGAGCUGCCAAGGGGGCAUUUUCUCCCCCUGUGCCCGCAUGCGUUUGGAACAGGCUUUGAUGGGGACACAGGCUCGAAACGAUCAGACUGCUGAAGAAUGCCCAGACCAUUGUUCCAGGACCUGAAUCUACCUACUGGACUUUGGGAACACAGGCAGCCUCACCUAUUGUUCAGCCCUCCAUUGGCAAAGUAACUUCAUCCUCUUCUGUGAUCAAGUAUUGUCCCUACUUAAGAGGCAAACAGUAAAUUUUUGCACUCUCACAACAAUUUAAUUUUGAAUCUGAAAUGUGGUUAGUUAUUUGAUUUUCUGUUCAGUCGGUUUACAACGGGGCUCAACCAAGCACUGUCUUUUAAAAGAAAAGCCAUCAACCUGUGCUGUUAUUCCAAUGAGGCAUUCUCGUUCUUGUGAGCAGGGGUAGGGAGAAUCGGUGAAAAAUGAGUUAUGGCUGGUUAAGGGAUGCUGAGAUACAAAACUCCUAGCUGUAAUUUUUAUAUUAAGGUCGUGGUCUUUUACUAGGUUUAUAUGCCAAUGAGGCGUUCCCGGUUUACCAAAUUUAUACAAAUCUCUCCUUAAUUGGUAAUCACAGAUGCUGUAAUUUAAGACCCCCAGCUAUAGAGCCUUCAUAUUAGCUGCUGAUCUAUUACUGUAAAUCGUCUGAAAUAAUCAACUCCAGGGAGUGGAGUAGAGAGAACGAUCCCCGCUCUAAAAUAUCAUCGCUUCCACAUCAUUUUCACUUGAGAAAUGAUUUAUCUUGGACACCGCCAUAAACAACACAACUCUCUCACAAACACACACACAAUGGCAGCCGCAGUGCUGCUGACAUGCUUAUUGUAAUAAAUCAAGAAAGGGGGAAAAAAGAGGUUGUGAGGAGAGCGAGAGAGCGAGAGGAAUAUUCCUAAAAAUAUCAAUGAAAUGCCUCGAUGGGUAUAAACACACAUACCACCAUGUGAAGAGAAAUGGGAGGAAAUGAAGACGGCUAUUUGUCACAUUUUACGACAAUAACAUUAAUAACAAACAAUAAAUUUACAUGGACAUAUAGACACGCUAGGAAUUGGGAAGCCCCCGCUACUUACAAUAAUCCAGCCCUCGGCGUGGCUUCUUGCUUCCUGAGAAUUGUUUUAUUGCAGACUUCUCUCUCUCUCUC